rnacentral:tRNA from 1 species
GCCGUCGUAGCUUAAUAGGCAGAGCACUCGGCUGUUAACCGAGCGGUUGGCGGUUCGAAUCCGCCCGACGGCG